rnacentral:rRNA from 1 species
GACGAACGCUGGCGGCGUGCUUAACACAUGCAAGUCGAACGAAGAGCGAUGGAAGCUUGCUUCUAUCAAUCUUAGUGGCGAACGGGUGAGUAACGCGUAAUCAACCUGCCCUUCAGAGGGGGACAACAGUUGGAAACGACUGCUAAUACCGCAUACGAUCUAAUCUCGGCAUCGAGGAUAGAUGAAAGGUGGCCUCUACAUGUAAGCUAUCACUGAAGGAGGGGAUUGCGUCUGAUUAGCUAGUUGGAGGGGUAACGGCCCACCAAGGCGAUGAUCAGUAGCCGGUCCGAAGGGAUGAACGGCCCCAUUGGGACUGAGACACGGCCCAGACCCCUACGGGAGGCAGCAGGGGGGAAUCUUCCGCAAUGGACGAAAGUCUGACGGAGCAAAGCCGCGGGAGCGAUGACGGCCUUCGGGUUGUAAAGCUCUGUUAAUCGGGACGAAAGGCCUUCUUGCGAAUAGUGAGAAGGAUUGACGGUACCGGAAUAGAAAGCCACGGCUAACUACGUG